rnacentral:rRNA from 1 species
UACGUAGGGGCAAGGCGUUGUCCGGAAUCAUUGGGCGUAAAGAGCGCGUAGGCGGUCCGGUAAGUCCGCUCUGAAAGUCCGGGGCUCAACUCCGGAUCUGCGGUGGGUACGGGCAGACUAGAGUGAUGUAGGGGAGACUGGAAUUCCUGGUGUAGCGGUGAAAUGCGCAGAUAUCAGGAGGAACACCGAUGGCGAAGGCGGGUCUCUGGGCCGAUACUGACGCUGAGGAGCGAAAGCGUGGGGGAGCGAACAGG